GACGAACGCGUGGCGGCGUGCUUAACACAUGCAAGUCGAGCGGAAAGGGCCACGUUCGGUGGGUACUCGAGCGGCGAACGGGUGAGUAACACGUGAGUAAUCUGCCCUCCACUUCGGGAUAGCCGCCGGAAACGGUGAUUAAUACCGGAUAUGACACGCCUUCGCAUGUUGGUGUGUGGAAAGUUUUUCGGUGGGGAUGUGCUCGCGGCCUAUCAGCCUGAUGGUGAGGUAAUGGCUCACCAUGGCUUCGACGGGUAGCCGGCCUGAGAGGGUGACCGGUCACACUGGGACUGAGACACGGCCCAG
rnacentral:rRNA from 1 species